UUUAUUUUUUAACAGAAAUUUGGUAAUCUAUGAUUUUAUUCGGUGGUUGUCAAGCGAAUGGUUUAGUCCUGAUUUGCUGUUAUUUUUGCCAUAUUGUCUUGCUCCACGAGAGGGCAAUGUUUCUCAGGAAAAAAAAAAAGACCUCAAGCCAACACACUCUGAAGCUGGUUCACACCCAGACACGACCUCUGUAGUUCACGCCCUCCUCCUCCAAAUUGUACUGCAGCAAUUAAAUUCUAUUGCACAUAUAAACAUAAGAUAUAAUACGUGAUGGUAGACAGGUCAAAAUUGUGAUAACCAGUGAAGAGCAGCAGAUCAGGUGGUACAGAGAGAUGAGAGCAAAGAAAAUACAGCAGCUCAAGUGAUGGAGUAAACAUUUGCACAAUCAGAUGUACCUGAUAUCAGCUGAUCAACUGCUUCAUCCAGAUCAGCAUGAGCAGCAGGGUCAGCGUCACCAGAAGCAGGAGCGGUGUGAGGGAAAGCAGGAGUAGUGUGUGGAGCAGCAUGAGGAAAGCCAGAGGAUGAGCAUAAAGACAAGUGUAAGGAACAGGAUGCAGAACAGCAAAAGGAAUGGCAUAUGGGACAGGGUAGGGAACAGGGACGCAAACAGGAAAAGGAAGAGAGUGACCUUACUGCUGCCACUCCAUCCCACAGUGCUAUGGUAAGAACUGCAUUUUCAGCAUUAUGAUUAAAGUCUCACUCUCUCUAUCUCACUGUCACCAUGGUUGUUUGGCCAGCCAGCCCUUUUCUGACCAUCCACCUCAUCAGGGUGAAAUGGGUCAUUGGAGGCCUUCCAGUAUUAGGAUAUUCAUUAUUAAAAGACCACGAGGACCCACUUGGGUGAGUUUGGCGCAGAAGAACUUGACUGACUGCGCAGAGCCCUGACCUCAACCCCAUCAAACACCUUGCGGAUGAACAGGAAAGGGAGAUUGUGAGCCAGGCCAUUUCGUCCAACAUCAGUGCCUGACCUUACAAAUGCUCUACUGCAUGAAUGGCAAACAAUUCCUAUAGAAACACUCCAAAUCUUGUGGAAAGCCUUCCAAAAAGAGUGGAAGCUGUUAUAGCUGCAAAGGGAGACCAACUUCAUAUUAAAAUCUAUGGAUUUAGAAUGGUGUGUAAUGGUCAGGUGUCCCAAUACUUCUGUCUAUUUAGUGUAUCUACACUAACUGUGCUGCAUCAAAUGCAUUACAAACAUUUUGUAAAAAAAGCAGCCAACUCACUUGAUGCCACAUGCAAUCAUUAAAAGUUAUGUCAAAUAUAGUGCGGUUCUGAUACAGUUAAUGUUAAGACAAGUGUUGUGGCAUAUUUCAUUGCCAAAUGCUCAGUUAAAAUUUAGGGAGCUCUGACUUGGAAACAAAGAACAUGCUGGCUGGAGUGCUGUGCAGAUACUCUGACAUUUUAGGCAGACAGUAACUGUAGCACAGGUUAAAUUGCGAUGAACUGAUCCCAAUUAAAUCCAUUCAUAUCCUCCCUGUAACGAGCAUAGUGUAGCAGAGAUGACAUCCUGAAGAGCCAAAGUGAUUCAAGUCAGAUUUUGUAGUUUGAUAUUCCCAACUAGAGUCUCUACUCAGUGAGGGAUGAACCUAUUGUCUAUUGCCUAUCUUUAGUCUGUUCAUCCCAUGUUUUCCUUACAGAAUUUCACUUAAUAAGACUCUUCACUUUUGUGUUUUUGCUUCUGAAAACACAUUUUGUUUCAUAUGACCACAAUAAAAUGUAGACGUAUGUUC